GGCAAUUUUAAUUCUGAUAAUAGUUUUGCUGAAACUCAAGUUAAAGAGAUCGCACGGGGGUUACGCAAAUCCUUUGGACGGAUGUCAGAAUGUACACCAGGAUGAACUAGCACCGAUUGAGCAUACCACUGUCUAUGCCUCACUAAACCAGAGUGAGAGCAAACCAGUUCGCAAAGAUCAACAACAGGAAGAGCGCGUUAUCAAUUCCCAGACUAAAGGAAAUGGAGCUGACAAACUGACUUAUGCCGCUUUGCAGAUUUCCGAUUCGAGUUACACACAGGCAUCCAAACAUCAAAGCAAACAUACAUUGUACGCAGAUGUAAAUACAUCAAAGAAGCUGUGAAGCCAAUUGCAGUUCAUUAUCAAUGAGAGUA